rnacentral:rRNA from 1 species
GACGAACGCUGGCGGCGUGCUUAACACAUGCAAGUCGAACGGAAAGGCCCUUCGGGGUACUCGAGUGGCGAACGGGUGAGUAACACGUGGGUGAUCUGCCCUUCACUUUGGGAUAAGCCUGGGAAACUGGGUCUAAUACCGAAUAGGACCACGCGCUUCAUGGUGUGUGGUGGAAAGCUUUUGCGGUGUGGGAUGGGCCCGCGGCCUAUCAGCUUGUUGGUGGGGUAAUGGCCUACCAAGGCGACGACGGGUAGCCGGCCUGAGAGGGUGACCGGCCACACUGGGACUGAGAUACGGCCCAGACUCCUACGGGAGGCAGCAGUGGGGAAUAUUGCACAAUGGGCGCAAGCCUGAUGCAGCGACGCCGCGUGCGGGAUGACGGCCUUCGGGUUGUAAACCUCUUUCACCAGGGACGAAGCGUAAGUGACGGUACCUGGAGAAGAAGCACCGGCCAACUACGUG